rnacentral:rRNA from 1 species
AGUGAGGAAUAUUGGUCAAUGGGCGCAAGCCUGAACCAGCCAUCCCGCGUGAAGGAAGAAGGCCCUAUGGGUUGUAAACUUCUUUUCCAGGGGGUGAAUAAUUCCGAUGUAUCGGGAGAUGACGGUACCCUGGGAAUAAGCAUCGGCUAACUCCGUGCCAGCAGCCGCGGUAAUACGGAGGAUGCGAGCGUUAUCCGGAUUUAUUGGGUUUAAAGGGUGCGUAGGCGGAACAAUAAGUCAGUGGUGAAAGACUGCAGCUUAACUGUAGACUUGCCGUUGAUACUGUUGAUCUUGAGUAUGGUCAAGGCAGGCGGAAUGUGUAAUGUAGCGGUGAAAUGCUUAGAUAUUACACAGAACACCGAUUGCGAAGGCAGCUUGCUGGGCCAUUACUGACGCUGAUGCACGAAAGCGUGGGGAUCGAACAGGAUUAGAUACCCUGGUAGUCCACGCAGUAAACGAUGAUCACUCGCUGUUGGCGAUACACAGUCAGCGGCUAAGC